CACAUCUUAUCCUCAGAUGCCGACUAUCACACCACUGGGGCCACUUCACACUCAGAGAUCUUCUCUGUGCGCUCUUCAACCUCUCCUCUAGGGGAUGGCUUUCAGGUGGAGAUGGGCGUUUCUCAACAUCACACUCAACUGCGUCAGGACCGUGACUGUCUGCAGAGCAGAUCAUGGCUCAAUCAGCAGGCCUCAGCUCUGACCACCUCCUGUCAUGUCACCUUUGCUCAACUGUCUGGACCCUCUUGACCGCCUGGACAACACAUCAUCUGGAACCCUCCACUUCCUCUUUGGCAGUCGGCCCUUCCACAUCCAACUGACUGGACCAGACCAGACCGGACCACGCCCGCAAGAACGCUGCGGGACACACAUCUGCUGGUCUGCAGGUCUUGGUUGGUCGCUCUUGUGGAGGCUGCGUCUCUCAGGCUACAAUUGAACACCUUUCCCAGGCUCUUCACAGGUUCCUCUACAGUCAUCCAGCUCCUCCUGCUUUCAUGGUCCUGGCGCAGUUGAGUGUGAUGUUCAGAGAGGGCUGUCUCCACCUGUGAGAAGAAAUACAUCAAAAACAACAGUCACGGUCCUGACGCAGUUGAGUGCGAUGUUGAGAAACGGCCGUCUCCACCUGUGAGAAGAAAUAAAGCAAAU